rnacentral:rRNA from 1 species
UGGGGAAUUUUGGACAAUGGGCGAAAGCCUGAUCCAGCAAUGCCGCGUGUGUGAAGAAGGCCUUCGGGUUGUAAAGCACUUUUGUCCGGAAAGAAAUCCUUGGCUCUAAUACAGUCGGGGGAUGACGGUACCGGAAGAAUAAGCACCGGCUAACUACGUGCCAGCAGCCGCGGUAAUACGUAGGGUGCAAGCGUUAAUCGGAAUUACUGGGCGUAAAGCGUGCGCAGGCGGUUUGCUAAGACCGAUGUGAAAUCCCCGGGCUCAACCUGGGAACUGCAUUGGUGACUGGCAGGCUAGAGUAUGGCAGAGGGGGGUAGAAUUCCACGUGUAGCAGUGAAAUGCGUAGAGAUGUGGAGGAAUACCGAUGGCGAAGGCAGCCCCCUGGGCCAAUACUGACGCUCAUGCACGAAAGCGUGGGGAGCAAACAGGAUUAGAUACCCUGGUAGUCCACGCCCUAAACGAUGUCAACUAGUUGUUGGGGAUUCAUUUCCUUAGUAACGUAGCUAACGCGUGAAGUUGACCGCCUGGGGAGUACGGUCGCAAGAUUAAAACUUAAAGGAAUUGA